AAAGAGAGAAAUCAUAUAUUGGAUAAACUUUUGGAUUACAAUAGGGGAUAUUACAGGAGGAACAUCAUCCAUAUGUGAUGCAUAAUGUAAAUAUUCUCUUGACAACAAAACUUAAAUUGAAACCAUCCAUCAACAUCCCUACAACUUAACAAAAACUUAAUCGAGCAACAUGAUCCAAGAGGAACAACAACCCUACUAACUUAACUAAAACUAAAAGGAUCUGUCAUCGUCAUCAUGAACCAGAACACCAUCACCAUCAUUGAAGUAUAAUUGCCUCAUCCAUAUAUCUUCCGAAUCUACAAAGUAAAUAAGAAAAUGAACUGUUAAUAUACAAUGCAUUGAGAUUACACAAGUAGUGAUAGAGGCAUGAUGUUUCACAUACAAAUGUUAAACAGAAUGCAAUCUUUG
rnacentral:lncRNA from 1 species